ACCGAAAUUGCUCAGUUGGGAGAGCGUUAGACUAUAGAGUCCCUGGUUCAAUCCCGUGAUUCGGCA
rnacentral:tRNA from 1 species